rnacentral:rRNA from 1 species
UGGAGCUGAAAUCAGUCGAAGAUACCAGCUGGCUGCAACUGUUUAUUAAAAACACAGCACUGUGCAAACACGAAAGUGGACGUAUACGGUGUGACGCCUGCCCGGUGCCGGAAGGUUAAUUGAUGGGGUUAUCCGUAAGGAGAAGCUCUUGAUCGAAGCCCCGGUAAACGGCGGCCGUAACUAUAACGGUCCUAAGGUAGCGAAAUUCCUUGUCGGGUAAGUUCCGACCUGCACGAAUGGCGUAAUGAUGGCCAGGCUGUCUCCACCCGAGACUCAGUGAAAUUGAACUCGCUGUGAAGAUGCAGUGUACCCGCGGCAAGACGGAAAGACCCCGUGAACCUUUACUAUAGCUUGACACUGAACACUGGUCCUUGAUGUGUAGGAUAGGUGGGAGGCUUUGAAGUGUGGACGCCAGUCUGCAUGGAGCCGCCCUUGAAAUACCACCCUUUAAUGGCUGGUGUUCUAACGUAGACCCGUAAUCCGGGUUGCGGACAGUGUCUGGUGGGUAGUUUGACUGGGGCGGUCUCCUCCUAAAGAGUAACGGAGGAGCACGAAGGUUAGCUAAUCCUGGUCGGACAUCAGGAGGUUAGUGCAAAGGCAUAAGCUAGCUUGACUGCGAGCGUGACGGCGCGAGCAGGUGCGAAAGCAGGUCUUAGUGAUCCGGUGGUUCUGAAUGGAAGGGCCAUCGCUCAACGGAUAAAAGGUACUCCGGGGAUAACAGGCUGAUACCGCCCAAGAGUUCAUAUCGACGGCGGUGUUUGGCACCUCGAUGUCGGCUCAUCACAUCCUGGGGCUGAAGUAGGUCCCAAGGGUAUGGCUGUUCGCCAUUUAAAGUGGUACGCGAGCUGGGUUUAGAACGUCGUGAGACAGUUCGGUCCCUAUCUGCCGUGGGCGCUGGAGAAUUGAGGGGGGCUGCUCCUAGUACGAGAGGACCGGAGUGGACGCAUCACUGGUGUUCGGGUUGUCAUGCCAAUGGCACUGCCCGGUAGCUAAAUGCGGAAGAGAUAAGUGCUGAAAGCAUCUAAGCACGAAACUUGCC